rnacentral:rRNA from 1 species
UACGGGGGGGGCAAGCGUUGUUCGGAAUUACUGGGCGUAAAGGCUCGUAGGCGGCCAACUAAGUCAUACGUGAAAUCCCUCGGCUUAACCGGGGAACUGCGUCUGAUACUGGAUGGCUUGAGUUCGGGAGAGGGAUGCGGAAUUCCAGGUGUAGCGGUGAAAUGCGUAGAUAUCUGGAGAACACCGGUGGCGAAGGCGGCUACUCGAUCGGGAUA